UGUGUUUGGUAUAAGGCAGUAGAAUGGGAGCUUUGCUGCGGCUUAUCAUUAAGCUCAAUUUUAAAGACUUACCCAAGUAUAAAUUAGUGAUCAUAUAUUAGUGCUAGAGUGAAGUUGAUGUACAAGGCACUAUAGCGGAGCUUUGCUGUGGUAAGUUUACUUGGAGGAAAGAAGAAUGAAGCGACCAAUGCUGGGAAUAGUCAAUGUCUGUGUCCGACUGAAUCAAAGAUCAACCAGCUGAAAUUGAGAAUGUGUCAACUAUAUAUGUAUUUUGUUUCUCAUCAGAAGGAGAAGUAGACUGAACUCCAUGCUCAACAGAUAUGAUAAAACCUCAAAUCAAAGCUUAUUCACUGCAGGAUCAUCGUCUCCCUUCAGUUUCACCCAUCU